rnacentral:misc_RNA from 1 species
AACAAGGCGUACCUGCGGACCUGCGGAAGGAUCAUUACAGAGUUCAUGCCCUCACGGGUAGAUCUCCCACCCUUGAAUACUAUACCUUUGUUGCUUUGGCGGGCCGCUUUGGCUACUGGCUCUGGCUAGUAAGUGCCCGCCAAAGAACCCCAAAACUCUGAAUAUUAGUGUCGUCUGAGUACUAUAUAAUAGUUAAAACUUUUAGCAACGGAUCU